CCCUUAGAUGUUCUGGGCCGCACGCGCGCUACACUGACGAUGGCAACGAGUUUUUCCUUCGCCGAAAGGUGUGGGUAAUCUUUUGAAACAUCGUCGUGCUGGGGAUAGAUCAUUGCAAUUUUUGAUCUUGAACGAGGAAUUCCUAGUAAGCGCGAGUCAUCAGCUCGCGUUGAUUACGUCCCUGCCCUUUGUACACACCGCCCGUCGCUACUACCGAUUGAAUGGUUUAGUGAGGACUCCUGAUUGGCGCCGCCGCCCCGGCAACGGAGCAGCGGACUGCCGAAAAGUGUUCAAACUUGAUCAUUUAGAGGAAGUAAAAGUCGUAACA
rnacentral:rRNA from 1 species